GUUAUUUGAAGGAGAAGGCAGCAUAAACUUUUAACUUCUUUGGCCCUUCCAAAGCUUACCUUUGAGAAUAUUGGGAAGGGGGGUUGCUUUCUAUUCCUGAUGCCAGCAGGUGGGUCUGAGGGCCCAGAUCAGUCAAGAGAAGCCUUGGCUUCAAGCAGGAUGGAAAUCAAACAGAAGAAGCCAGCAGGAGGUCUCAAGAUCUGUGAGUGUAGAUGGCAUCAUCUGGAGUGUGAGUUGCUGCACAAGAGUAUUGAAGACAAUGGCUAAGGACAAACUAAGAGGUCAGAAGAACAUAUUUCAUACAGCCAGCCAAAACAACUUGAAGUCUAAAAGCAAAGCAAAACCAGUCAUCACUGAUCUUCAGAAGAUAAACGUCAUGAAUGAUGAAAAAAGUUAACAGAGUGAAUAAAGCUUUUGUAGAUAUACAGGAGGAACUCA